rnacentral:sRNA from 1 species
CAGAUUCUGAGCUGCUGCGGGAUAUUUUGCAGAAGACUGUGAAGCAUCCUGUGUGUGUGAAGCACCCACCGUCAGUCACGUGUGCCCGGUGCUUUCUCUCAGAACUCAUCAAGAAGUAACCUGAAGCUUUCACCGUAGACAUGCUGUAUUGCCCAGAAGCCAUCGUGUCGCUGGUCGGGGUCCUGUGGAGGCUGGCUGCCUGCCAGGAGCACAAGCGGACUCCUGAGGUCUACAUGGCCUUUACCGUCCACAACCCAGAGACGUGCCAGCUGUUCACCACCAAGCUAGCUGAGCCCCCACGCCCACCCGGGCCUGCAUGGUCCCUGAGCUGUCCCUGCAGGACUCCAGUGGAAGUGAAAGAACUGGGCGCCGGGGAAAAGCUAGGAUGUCCCACACUCCCACACCAUGCAGGGAACUCGGGCACAGGCCU